rnacentral:tRNA from 3 species
CGCGGAUUAGUGAAAGGGUAUCACAUCGGUCUCCUUAGCCGAAGUUAUAGGUUCGACUCCUAUGUCCGCAA